rnacentral:rRNA from 1 species
GAUGAACGCUGGCGGCGUGCCUAAUACAUGCAAGUCGAGCGAACGGACGAGAAGCUUGCUUCUCUGAUGUUAGCGGCGGACGGGUGAGUAACACGUGGAUAACCUACCUAUAAGACUGGGAUAACUUCGGGAAACCGGAGCUAAUACCGGAUAAUAUUUUGAACCGCAUGGUUCAAAAGUGAAAGACGGUCUUGCUGUCACUUAUAGAUGGAUCCGCGCUGCAUUAGCUAGUUGGUAAGGUAACGGCUUACCAAGGCAACGAUGCAUAGCCGACCUGAGAGAGUGAUCGGCCACACGGGAACUGAGACACGGUCCAGGCUCCUACGGGAGGCAGCAGUAGGGAAUCGUCCGCAAUAGGCGAAAGCCUGACGGAGCAACGCCGCGUGAGUGAUGAAGGUCUUCGGAUCGUAAAACUCUGUUAUUAGGGAAGAACAUAUGUGUAAGUAACUGUGCACAUCUUGACGGUACCUAAUCAGAAAGCCACGGCUAACUACGUG